AGUACUUGAGUAAAAUGUAUUGAAGCAAUCGGAGAGGCUGCAGGCAAGAGGACGGUUUUCAAGAAUAGAAAGAAAAUAAACUUAAGACGUUUUAGUCCAGCCCCGAAUAUCCCUUCUCAGCACGAUUCCGGACCUCAUUGGAGCAGUUUGCAGCCAGUCUCCUCUCACUAUUAACUUCCAUUUUCUGCUGUAGUCCUUAAAGGGACAGAAGUUACCCUUCUUAGAAGUAACUUUUCCCAACGAAUCAAAUGGCUGUUAUACAGCGAUUGAAGUAUUUGUAUAUGUGUGUGCAAAAAUAAAUAUGUAUAUAAUGUGUAGUUCA